GCUGGGUGCAGUGGUGCACACCUGUAAUCCCAACAACUAGGGAAGCUGAGGCAGGGGGAUCACAAGUUGGAGGCUUCCCUGGUUAAAUCAUCGAAACCCUGUCUCAA
rnacentral:sRNA from 1 species